rnacentral:rRNA from 1 species
UACGUAGGGUGCAAGCGUUGUCCGGAAUCAUUGGGCGUAAAGAGCGCGUAGGCGGCCCGAUAAGUCCGCUGUGAAAGUCAAGGGCUCAACCCUUGAAUGCCGGUGGAUACUGUCGAGCUCGAGUCCGGAAGAGGAGUGUGGAAUUCCUGGUGUAGCGGUGAAAUGCGCAGAUAUCAGGAGGAACACCAAUGGCGAAGGCAGCACUCUGGGACGUGACUGACGCUGAGACGCGAAAGCGUGGGGAGCAAACAGG